rnacentral:rRNA from 1 species
UUAAAUAAUUUGGCAGUAUUUUUUAAAAUUAGAGGAUUUUGUUAUGUAAUAGAUAUUACACUUUAAAAAUUAUUUAAUUUAAAUUUAUUGUAUAUUGUUGUCUUUAGUUAAUUUUAAUAAAAUAUUAAUUAAUAUUAUUAUUUAUAUAAAUAUUUAAAUUUAAGUCAAAUCAACAUGCAUAUUAUAAUUAAAUUUUAAAUGAAAUACAUUUUUUAUAAAAUUAUGGAUUUUAAAUUUGUAAAAAUUUUUUGAAAUUGGAUUUAAAAGUAAAUUUUAAUAAAUAUUAAAUUUGAAUUUAAUUAAAAAUAUGUACAAAUUGCCCGUCGUUUUUAAUUUAAAUUAAAAUAAGUCGUAACAAAGUA